GGGGGGGGGGGGGGGGGGGGGGGGGGGGGGGGGGGGGGGGGGGGGGGGCGGGGGGGGGGGGGGGCUCGAGUGGCGCGGGGGGGAGGGGGGCGGGAGGAACGUGCCCGUGGCUGUGGGAUAACGGCGGGGACCUGGGGCGCAUCCCGGGUAGGAGCUUCUGCUGCAUGGUGGGGGUUGGCCGGGUUCGGCCGCUGGCGAUGGACUCGCGGCUUAUCAGCUUGUUGGUGGGGUAGUGGCUUACCAAGGCUUUGACGGGUAGCCGGCAUGAGAGGGUGACCGGCCACAUUGGGACUGAGAUGAGGCCCAGACUCCUACGGGAGGCAGCAGUGGGGAAUAUUGCACAAUGGGCGGAAGCCUGAUGCAGCAACGCCGCGUGCGGGAUGACGGCCUUCGGGUUGUAAACCGCUUUCGCCUGUGACGAAGCGUGAGUGACGGUAAUGGGUAAAGAAGCACCGGCUAACUACGUG
rnacentral:rRNA from 1 species